UACGUAGGGCGCAAGCGUGUCCGGAAUUAUUGGGCGUAAAGAGCUCGUAGGCGGCUUGUCACGUCGAUUGUGAAAGCCCGAGGCUUAACCUCGGGUCUGCAGUCGAUACGGGCUAGCUAGAGUCCGGUAGGGGGAGCGUGGAAUUCCUGGUGUAGGCGGUGAAAAUGCGCAGAUAUCAGGAGGAACACCAGCGGCGAAGGCGGCGCUCUGGGCCGGUACUGACGCUGAGGAGCGAAAGCGUGGGGAGCAAACAGG
rnacentral:rRNA from 1 species